AAAAUUUAAAUUGAAAAUACUAAAAUAGUAGGUAAAUAUUUAUUGAAACUUAAAUAAUUUGGCGGUAUUUUAGUUCAUUUAGAGGAAUCUGUUUAAUAAUUGAUAUUCCACGAAUAAAUUUACUUAAUUUAUAAUUUUGUAUAUCGUUGUUAUAAAAAUAUUUUUUAAUAAAAUUAAUAUUUAAAAAUUAAAAUUAAAAUUUAAAUCAGAUCAAGAUGCAGAUUAUAAUUAAGAAUAUAAUGGAUUACAAUAAAUUUAUUUAGAUGAAUUUUAAUUUGUAAUAUUUAAUUGAAGGUGGAUUUAAAUGUAAUUUUAUUUAAUUUAAUAAAAUGAUUUAAAAUUAAAAUAUGU
rnacentral:rRNA from 1 species